rnacentral:rRNA from 1 species
AUUGAACGCUGGCGGCAGGCCUAACACAUGCAAGCCGAACGGUAACAGGAAACAGCUUGCUGUUUCGCUGACGAGUGGCGGACGGGUGAGUAAUGUCCGGGAAACUGCCUGAUGGAGGGGGAUAACUACUGGAAACGGUAGCUAAUACCGCAUAACGUCGCAAGACCAAAGAGGGGGACCUUCGGGCCUCUUGCCAUCGGAUGUGCCCAGAUGGGAUUAGCUAGUAGGUGGGGUAACGGCUCACCUAGGCGACGAUCCCUAGCUGGUCUGAGAGGAUGACCAGCCACACUGGAACUGAGACACGGUCCAGACUCCUACGGGAGGCAGCAGUGGGGAAUAUUGCACAAUGGGCGCAAGCCUGAUGCAGCCAUGCCGCGUGUAUGAAGAAGGCCUUCGGGUUGUAAAGUACUUUCAGCGGGGAGGAAGGGAGUAAAGUUAAUACCUUUGCUCAUUGACGUUACCCGCAGAAGAAGCACCGGCUAACUCCGUG